AGAGAAAGAGGGAGGCAGGCUUAACACAUGCAAGUCGAACGGGCAUAGCAAUAUGUCAGUGGCAGACGGGUGAGUAACGCGUGGGAACGUACCUUUUGGUUCGGAACAACACAGGGAAACUUGUGCUAAUACCGGAUAAGCCCUUACGGGGAAAGAUUUAUCGCCGAAAGAUCGGCCCGCGUCUGAUUAGCUAGUUGGUAGGGUAAUGGCCUACCAAGGCGACGAUCAGUAGCUGGUCUGAGAGGAUGAUCAGCCACAUUGGGACUGAGACACGGCCCAAACUCCUACGGGAGGCAGCAGUGGGGAAUAUUGGGCAAUGGGCGAAAGCCUGAUCCAGCCAUGCCGCGUGAGUGAUGAAGGCCCUAGGGUUGUAAAGCUCUUUUGUGCGGGAAGAUAAUGACGGUACCGCAAGAAUAAGCCCCGGCUAACUUCGUG
rnacentral:rRNA from 1 species